rnacentral:rRNA from 1 species
AGAGUUUGAUCAUGGCUCAGGAUGAACACUAGCUACAGGCUUAACACAUGCAAGUCGAGGGGAAACGACAUCGAAAGCUUGCUUUUGAUGGGCGUCGACCGGCGCACGGGUGAGUAACGCGUAUCCAACCUGCCCAUCACUUGGGGAUAACCUUGCGAAAGUAAGACUAAUACCCAAUGAUAUCUCUAGAAGGCAUCUGAAAGAGAUUAAAGAUUUANCGGUGAUGGAUGGGGGAUGCGUCUGAUUAGCUUGUUGGCGGGGUAACGGCCACCAAAGCAACGAUCAGUAGGGGUUCUGAGAGGAAGGUCCCCCACAUUGGAACUGAGACACGGUCCAAACUCCUACGGGAGGCA